rnacentral:rRNA from 1 species
GCAGUCGAGCGAUGAACACCUUCGGGUGUGAAUUAGCGGCGAACGGGUGAGGAACACGUGAAGAAUCUGCCUUCAACUCUGGGAUAACUCCGGGAAACCGGGGCUAAUACCGGAUAUGAGCCUUGAUCGCAUGAUCGGGGCUGGAAAGUUUUUCGGUUGAAGAUGACUUCGCGGCCUAUCAGCUUGUUGGUGAGGUAAUGGCUCACCAAGGCGACGACGGGUAGCCGGCCUGAGAGGGCGACCGGCCACACUGGGACUGAGACACGGCCCAGACUCCUACGGGAGGCAGCAGUGGGGAAUAUUGGGCAAUGGAGGAAACUCUGACCCAGCGACGCCGCGUGAGGGAUGAAGGCCUUCGGGUUGUAAACCUCUUUCAGUAGGGAAGAAGCGAAAGUGACGGUACCUACAGAAGAAGCACCGGCUAACUAUGUGCCAGCAGCCGCGGUAAUACAUAGGGUGCAAGCGUUGUCCGGAAUUAUUGGGCGUAAAGAGCUCGUAGGUGGUUCGAUACGUCGGAUG